UUAUAAUUUAACAUAAUUUGUGUAGACUGAACAACUGAAAGAAAUAUGUAUAUAGCUUCCACUCGGCAUAUACAACUCAUAAUAAGUGCGGAAGUCAAAAAAUCUCAACCCAAAACCCAGAAACUCACGGGAACCACAGGCUAACAAAAGCAUAGUACGCUGCUCUAACUCCAGAAUAUCUAAACAACUGAGAGAAAAGGGAUAAACUGAAUACUAAAGC
rnacentral:lncRNA from 1 species